rnacentral:rRNA from 1 species
GAUGAACGCUGGCGGCGUGCCUAAUACAUGCAAGUCGAGCGAACAGACGAGGAGCUUGCUCCUCUGACGUUAGCGGCGGACGGGUGAGUAACACGUGGAUAACCUACCUAUAAGACUGGGAUAACUUCGGGAAACCGGAGCUAAUACCGGAUAAUAUAUUGAACCGCAUGGUUCAAUAGUGAAAGACGGUUUUGCUGUCACUUAUAGAUGGAUCCGCGCCGCAUUAGCUAGUUGGUAAGGUAACGGCUUACCAAGGCAACGAUGCGUAGCCGACCUGAGAGGGUGAUCGGCCACACUGGAACUGAGACACGGUCCAGACUCCUACGGGAGGCAGCAGUAGGGAAUCUGCCGCAAUGGGCGAAAGCCUGACGGAGCAACGCCGCGUGAGUGAUGAAGGUCUGCGGAUCGUAAAACUCUGUUAUUAGGGAAGAACAAAUGUGUAAGUAACGAUGCACGUCUGGACGGUACCUAAUCAGAAAGCCACGGCUAACUACGU